rnacentral:rRNA from 1 species
GCGAAAAGAACCCCGGCGAGGGGAGUGAAAAAGAACCUGAAACCGUGUACGUACAAGCAGUGGGAGCACCCUUCGGGGUGUGACUGCGUACCUUUUGUAUAAUGGGUCAGCGACUUAUAUUCUGUAGCAAGGUUAACCGUAUAGGGGAGCCGUAGGGAAACCGAGUCUUAACCGGGCGUUAAGUUGCAGGGUAUAGACCCGAAACCCGGUGAUCUAGCCAUGGGCAGGUUGAAGGUUGGGUAACACUAACUGGAGGACCGAACCGACUAAUGUUGAAAAAUUAGCGGAUGACCUGUGGCUGGGGGUGAAAGGCCAAUCAAACCGGGAGAUAGCUGGUUCUCCCCGAAAGCUAUUUAGGUAGCGCCUCGUGAAUUCAUCUCCGGGGGUAGAGCACUGUUUCGGCUAGGGGGCCAUCCCGGCUUACCAACCCGAUGCAAACUGCGAAUACCGGAGAAUGUUAUCACGGGAGACACACGGCGGGUGCUAACGUCCGUCGUGAAGAGGGAAACAACCCAGACCGCCAGCUAAGGUCCCAAAGUCAUGGUUAAGUGGGAAACGAUGUGGGAAGGCCCAGACAGCCAGGAUGUUGGCUUAGAAGCAGCCAUCAUUUAAAGAAAGCGUAAUAGCUCACUGGUCGAGUCGGCCUGCGCGGAAGAUGUAACGGGGCUAAACCAUGCACCGAAGCUGCGGCAGCGAACGUAUCACCCAAGACAACUUUACGGAGUUGACGAUUGACGGAGCGAAGCGACGUCAAAGCGUUCAUUAAAGUCGAGUUGGCUUAGGGAUACGUU